rnacentral:rRNA from 1 species
UACGGAGGGUGCGAGCGUUGUUCGGAAUCACUGGGCGUAAAGCGCGUGUAGGCGGCCCACUAAGUCUGAUGUGAAAGCCCGGGGCUCACCCCCGGAAGUGCAUUGGAAACUGGUGGACUCGAGUCCCGGAGAGGAGAGUGGAAUUCCUGGUGUAGCGGUGAAAUGCGUAGAUAUCUGGAGGAACACCGGUGGCGAAGGCGGCAUCCUGGACCAACACUGACGCUGAGUGAGCGAAAGCCAGGGGAGCAAACAGG